UCCCUCAUAGCUCAGUUGGUAAAGAAUCUGCCUGCAAUGUAGGAGACCUGGGUUCGAUUCCUGGCUUGGGAA
rnacentral:tRNA from 1 species